rnacentral:rRNA from 1 species
GACGAAGGGGGCUAGCGUUGUUCGGAAUUACUGGGCGUAAAGCGUGCGCAGGCGGUGAGCUGUGUCCGAUGUGAAAGCCCCGGGCUUAACCUGGGAAUGGCAUUGGAAACUGGCUCGCUGGAGUGUGGCAGAGGGGGGUGGAAUUCCGCGUGUAGCAGUGAAAUGCGUAGAGAUGCGGAGGAACACCGAUGGCGAAGGCAGCCCCCUGGGCUAACACUGACGCUCAGGCACGAAAGCGUGGGGAGCAAACAGG